UUGGUGGCUUUUGUUGCAGGGAAUGA
rnacentral:piRNA from 1 species